CAUCGCCGCCAUCUUCGAGCCUCCCUGAAGCACGGGCGCUGCGGGGUCGUUCCUCACCGGCGUCUCCUUGGCCAACCUGUCCAUCUCCUUCCACCGUAUGCCUAGGGUCGAGUGCCUCCCACCCAUCAAAUCCAAGCAUCAGGAGGUGCUCACCUUUGACAGCGGCCAUCCCUCAACCCACUGUAGCAUGUGGCGCCCCCGCUGCGAAUUUGCCUCUAUGACAAUUGCCAUCCUCACAUCCCAAACCGUCGAUGCCCACCCCUAACACGGUUCCUGACCUCCCUGACAGGGGACUUCUCUAAAGGAUAUAACAAGUGGUGGUCAAGAAAUCCAAAUGGAGUCCCUCUAGAAUCUCUUGGAUAUAAGCAAGGUUACAGAGUUGAUGUGGAUAUUCCUGACCAAACAUGGGUAGAGGCAUGUAGCUUCCAUGAUGUUCUUAUUUUCAACACUGGGCAUUGCUGGGAUUCCACAUCUUAAGUGGUUUGGGGUGGAGGGGCAGUACAAUGUCAUGGUGAUUGAUCUGCUUGGUCCAAGUCUGAAGGGCUUAUUUAACUACUGCAGCAGAAAGUUCUCACUUAAAACAGUACUAAUGCUUGCUGAUCAGAUGAUCAGUGUUGUUUGCUACCUGGCACGUUGGAGUCCAGCGCGUCUGCCGCCUCCGAUAAACUCAAGUCCAUCGGUCAGUCCGUCGAUGACCACGAUAUUGUCGCUGGUCUCCUCUCGAACCUACAAGAUCGUGGAUUACGUCGAAGCAGAUACAGCUCAUCUAUCUGCACCUGGUCUUGGGGUGGAAUUUGGGUCAACACAUGACCAUGUUAUGUAUGCGUUGUUUCAAGGCCUGUUUCUUGCUCCCUCUUUACAAUAUUUUAUAUUGCACUUCUUAGCGAUAGAACUGCUGAAUUUUUUAAGGCCAGCAAACAGAUAAAGUGAACUUCGAAAAAUAAAAUUGCAGGUAGUGCAGCUUGGCAGCAGGGAAUGACUCAUAACAUUCUGUGAAGUAGUGCAACAGUUCUCUGUUUAAAUUCCUCAUUUGUUUUGAUAAUUUUCUAUUGAUUCAUUCAAAACAACUCAUAUCAAUUUGCUAGCCCACAAGAGAGCUCGCUCCGUAUUCUGCUAGAUGCAUUUAUGAGAAAUUAUAGUUGGAGCUCCCAUAUUAAUAAUAUAAUGGAACUUCAUCCAUGUCUGAAAUAAGUAUGUUCUUUGUUUUUUCUAUAAAAGUGCUUGAGCAAUCAGGAACAGAUAGUGGAGUUACUUGAACGUGAAAAAUUGGAGAAGAAGCUGCAGGAUCCAGCUGCAGAACCAAUAUGUUUGCCAAUAGAAUUUUUGAAAGCCAUCACAUGCAAUUUUUCAACUGAACGAGAACUUGGCAGGGUGAGUACGGAGUAGUGUACAAGGGAGUUCUGCAUUGAGCUGUCGUAGAGAGCGCAGACAGGCACUCUAGCCAACGUUGUUGGCUAGGAUUGGGACACAAAAGCGAGACGAGGGAUGAGAAGCACAGGAGGAGUCGGUCUGUCCUCAUCAUCGAUAUAUGCAAGCCAUCCAGUGCUUUGGAGUUGAUAUGGUCGGCUGAGAAGUUGAGGAAGAAGUCAUUUCUACCUAUAAGCUAGGUGCUGUUGUUGUUUGAAUAGAGACCAUCUCUACUCCUUUAAUGCCUAAACCUACAGCUGUGUGACAUGAAGAACUUGUGAACCAAAAUCAUGGCACAACUGAAGACAUAACUAACUGGAAAAAUGACUUUUUUUUAUUUUCAAGAACUAUAACAGAAUCCAGUAACAUUGCAGCAACCCCUGUUUCCUCGACAUAGAACCAGUGAAGCUCGCUAAUUUAGAGGAUACACCAAUUUAUGAUAUUACUUUCCCAGCAACUGUUAGUUGGAACAAUCUUUUCUGGACCUAAAACAGAAAAACAUCGCAUUAGAAUUGUCAAUGUUCUUUAGCUAACUAGAAUGCACAGUGCAGCAUAGCAAUAUCAGACUCUGAAGUCCCAACCAUUCCGUUGGAUAAAGAGUAUGUAGGGUUAUUCAAUUUCCUCUCAACUGUUUUUAACUUUCUAAUCUAUUAAUCGCUGGUGUUAGAUCAGGUAGGUGGCGGCUAAGAAAAAUGAAGAUGGUGACAACUAAGAAACUCUAAAGCCUCCACUGCCUUUGCUUCCCUUGCUGGUUGACGCGCCAUCAUCGCAUGAAGGUUAGCUUCCCCUCAUGAUGAUUGUGCGCUGGUAAACGCAGUGGAGGCGAUAGAUAUUUCUGCAUGGUUCUAUGUAAGUUUCCUUCAAUUUAUUUUUUCUUCCUAUAUUUCUUUCCUCGAUUACGCCACAAAGUAAAAAAAGGUUGGUCUCUAUCUGUUCGUUGUUCGGUUCCUCCAUUACUGUUGAUCAGCCUCUAAUCUGUAUGACAGCUAUAAAGCAAGGGAUUGGUCCUGGUGUCAUUUUGUAAUCUCCGUUGUCAAAUUCAUAUUGUCUCUGCUAUCUUUGUUGCCAAAUUCAUACUCCUGGUGUCCUGUCUUUUUAUAUUUAUUUUGACGAUUGUUGGGCUAGGUCACGUUCAGUUGAUCUCUGCAUGAGAUUUUAUACCCUUGGAGAACUUGAAAUACUUAUUGUCUCUGCCUCUGUCCUGGUGGCAUGUGUUUUGAUGAGCUCGCUAGCCAGGUCAUGUAUGGUUUCACUUGAACAUUUUCACUUCCAUGGUUGAUAUGAACUGGUGACAUCCUUACUGAUGCACUAGAUUUCGAUCCUAGGAUACUCUUUAAUUGAUGUAUGCUUUGCUUCGGUCGUAUAAUAUUAGAGCAACUUAUCAUCUCCCACGUUUUAUAAUCCAUCCUAGCAUGUUACAAUUUUUUCUGCACAAUUGUACAUGGAAGCAUUAGUCAUAGGAUAUCGGUUGUUGAAGUACAUCGUCAAUUAUACAGAGAAGCAUUAGUGCAUUGAACGGCUGAAGAAUCACCGCAGUAAUUUCCUACCACUCAUCUUUUGCUCUGUUUCCUUUUAGAUUCAGAUUCAGCUACACUUUCUUAACUAGGACAUGCUUAAUCCAGGGGAAAAUAGUGCAGCUGUUGGUUACCUGAUCGUUGAUACAAACGGUGGCCUAAAUCAGAUGAGAAUGGUAGUAAGUAUAUGAUUGUGCUAACACCAUGGCAAUGUCUUCUAGCUAACUCUCAUUGAUUCCUUCACAAUUAUUCUUACAAAUAAGUGAUAUGGUUGUAGUGGCAAAGAUCAUGAACGCGUAGCUGGUGAUCUCUACUCAAAGACUCGAAAGCUUAGGUCUGUAACCAUAAAACUGAAUACUUAAUAUGGGCAAUUCAUGUAUCCUGAUUAUGGAUAUUAUGUGGAUAUUUUCUAUCUGUGAAUCACCCCUGCACUUUGAAUCGCUUAUGUCAUUAUUAGCAAUCACAUAAUAUUUUUCUUUUGUUUUAGAUUUAAUUGGUAUAAUCAUAUACUAAUUCAUAGAUUGGUACCUCUAAUAAGCUUUGGUACAAUAGGAUUUGGUUCAGCUUCUCACUUUGUGUUUAAAUAAAAAGAAACAGGCAACAAAUUAUAGUGAAGAGGCUCCUCCCAUCCCUGUCACUUGGUGGAUCACCCCCACGGAACCACCCUAGCCAAAGACAGGUAUGUGCAUGAUGUUAUUCUUGGUAGCCUAUAAUCAUCUUUGCCUCAAAGUGCUUCUAUAGGUAAAUGAAUGUAGUGCAAGUUUUUAUUUCUAUUUUUUGCUCCAACUGUUUUCUAUGCUACUUCCUUAGUGUUAGUUCACCAUGCAUAAGUCAUCUGCAGAAAGUGUGCUUCUUCCUAACCAACUGUAUAUGUUAUUAAUUGUCUUCUAAUUUCAAUAGUAUAAAAGUGGUAGAUCGUUAGGGAGGUACACAAGUGCAGCCACCAUUGUGAGGUCCUUGAUGUAUCGGCGCCACAACAAGGACCUCGACGUAUUGCCACCGUCGCUUUGGAGAAAACAGAGGCAGAUGGCAACAUCGUGGCGCUGAAGAACUACCUCAAGACGUAGUACUACGAUGAGGUCGGCAUCUUCACACCAUUGUAGAACUUCCACCUUUGUGCUUUUGUUUCGUGGCAUAAUAUUCAUUACAGCAAGUAUAUUUCUGCAAGUAUAUUUCUGCACGUAUAUUUCUGCAAGUAUAUAGAGCCAAAGGUGACACAAGCGUGUAGAAAUCAAAUUUCAGUGUGUAGUUGUGUACUGCGAUAGUUGCAUCCAAUGUACUACUUUGUACAUUGUGUGCAUUUUGUUUUCUUAUAAAUCAGAUUUGAUUUCC